rnacentral:lncRNA from 1 species
UCCUCCCUCAGGAGGGUACACUGAUCCUUUGGAUGAUAUUGGUCUUUUCAACAGCAGAAAGACUGAUCAUUCUUUUGCUGAUAUUGACCCUCUCGAUAGUCUUGGAAAAUCAGGGCCAGAUAUGAGUAGUAGAGACAAAAGUCACCUGAGACCAGGCAACGGCAGUGGCUCUCAGUCACCGGUGGAGAGUUCCCACACUGGGAGUUACCAUGGUAAGAAAGUUUCUUUCGAUGAAGUCUUGGAGCCGCAGAGUACUUCUGUUCCUCAUGCUACUGCUCCACUGUAUGAAAACAAAUCACUCAAUUCAGAUGGAAGUUUUGACUUAUCUGAUGAUGUCUGGCUUACUGUGUCUGAGAUCCCUCUAUUUACGCAGCCUACGAGUGCUCCCCCACCUUCCAGACCUCCACCGCCCAGACCUACACGUCCCAUGAAAAGAAGGGAAGGAGAGAGAGUUAUUUUCGAUUUCUAAUAUUGGAGAGAGACCCACCCAUCAUACUCAGAUCUGACGACGAUAAUCUGUUGGAUCUGCGAUUUGGGGGUGUGAAAAAUCCAAUUCCAAGUAAUCGAUGGACGAUUUCUCAGGCCUUUUAGGUUUGAAGCCGCAGGGAAAAUCAGCUCCGAUGGCGCCGUCUUCGUCGUCCCCAGCAAGGAACAAGUCCGAUUCAUCGCCUCUCUUCGACGAUCUGAGCGGUGGCGACGAUCUCCUCUUCAGCGAUUCGCGAUCUCAGACUAAGCCCUCUGAUUUUGACUACGAUGCGAUGUUCAAGGAUCCCAAACCUGUGUACGACAAGCCUGUGUACGACGAGGAGGACGUCUUCGAAUCGCUUAAAACCCCGCCGGGCUCUCAAUCGGCUAGGUUUGAUGACCUUUUCUCCUCGCAUUCGGUGCACAGGAAGAACAACUCCUCUCCUUUCGAUGACCUGAUUGGGAAUCUGAGCAAGCCGGAGAGAAAACGAGAUGAGAAAGGUAGCUCGGCUUUUGAUGACUUGAUUCCUGGGUUUGGUCGCGCUAGCUCCCCUCCAGCUAAACGGUAGCGUUUCGUUCCUCUUCUUUUAUGUGCUUGUCUAGAGCUAUUUGCUACUGAGAUUCUCCAGUGAAUUGUAGCUUUAACCUACUUGGAGCGAACUUGCAGAUAUCGUAGAAAAUUUUACUAAAGGUUGAACCUUUUGAAUUUUUGAUAGUAAAAGUAGUCAUUCAUAUUGUUUUUCUUUUUUUUGCUCAGGCCAACUUCAGAAACGAGUCAUUCUCAGAAGCCUCCGUAUAGGACAUCUUCCAAUCUUGCAGAAGAUCCAUUUGUGGUCUUGGAGACUGCUUCUACCCCUAGAGAACCUCCUCCCUCAGGAGGGUACACUGAUCCUUUGGAUGAUAUUGGUCUUUUCAACAGCAGAAAGACUGAUCAUUCUUUUGCUGAUAUUGACCCUCUCGAUAGUCUUGGAAAAUCAGGGCCAGAUAUGAGUAGUAGAGACAAAAGUCACCUGAGACCAGGCAACGGCAGUGGCUCUCAGUCACCGGUGGAGAGUUCCCACACUGGGAGUUACCAUGGUAAGAAAGUUUCUUUCGAUGAAGUCUUGGAGCCGCAGAGUACUUCUGUUCCUCAUGCUACUGCUCCACUGUAUGAAAACAAAUCACUCAAUUCAGAUGGAAGUUUUGACUUAUCUGAUGAUGUCUGGCUUACUGUGUCUGAGAUCCCUCUAUUUACGCAGCCUACGAGUGCUCCCCCACCUUCCAGACCUCCACCGCCCAGACCUACACGUCCCAUGAAAAAGAAGGCUAACGAGCCUCACUCACAUGUUCGUACCUCAGCUAGAGCUUCUGUAAAUAGCCCUACAGCAUCUCAAAUGGAUGACCUUGACGAUUUUUCUAUGGGCAAAAAUCACACUGCUGCUAAUGGUGAAGAUUCAGAUGUUUACUCUACUGCUGUUGCAUCAGCUGCUGCCAUGAAGGAUGCCAUGGAUAAAGCAGAAGCGAAGUUCAGGCAGGCCAAGGAAAGGAGAGAGAAAGACAAUUUGAAGGCAAGUAGAAGUAUGGAAGGCGAUCCAGUGGACAAUUAUGAUUCUCGGGAAAGGGAACUUAGAGAAAAGCAAGUGAGAUUGGAUCGUGAAAGGGCAGAGAGGGAGGCAGAGAUGGAAAAAGCCCAGGAAAGGGAGAGAGAGGAGAGAGAGCGGAAAAGAGUUGAGAAAGAAAGGGAAAGGCUGUUGGCUAGACAGGCCGUAGAGAGGGCUACAAGGGAAGCACGUGAAAGAGCAGCCUCUGAGGCACAUGCGAAAGCUCAAAGAGCUGCUGUUGGAAAGGCUAAUACAGAUGCCCGAGAACGCGCCGAAAGAGCAGCGGUUCAACGAGCUCAUGCUGAAGCACGUGAAAGGGCAGCUGCAGGGGCAAGGGAGAAGGCUGAGAGAGCCGCAGCAGAAGCUAGAGAAAGGGAACUUUCUGUAGCACGGGAGAAGGAAGCAAAGGUUAAGGCAGAACGAGCUGCUGUUGAAAGGGCAGCUGCCGAGGCACGUGCAAGGGCAACUGCUGAGGCACGUGCAAGGGUAGCUGCGCAAGCUAAAGCUAAGCAGCAAGAGAAUAACAAUGAUCUUGACUCCUUCUUUGACUCGGUUUCCAGACCAAGUAGCGCUCCACGACAGAGAACCAACCCUCUGGUUAGAUUUGAUAUCUACUUCUUUCUGCUUUAUGUUCUUUACAUGAGACUCGUCUUCUUCUUAUAACUUUUGUUGUGUUUCAGGAUCCUUUCCAAGAUACAUGGAACAAGGGAGGGUCUUUCGAAUCUAGCAGAGCAUCUUCGCGAGUGCCCUCUGGAGCAGCUGAGAACCUGAGGAAGACCUCGUCAGCAACAAACAUUGUUGAUGAUCUAAGUUCAAUAUUUGGAGGUAUUGGAAUUUCUAAGGUUCCUCUGAAGUUUUUUUUUAAACGUCUUCUACAUUGGUGAUGUACUUAAUCCUCCGUUGUUUGUAAAGCUUCAGCAACCCAGUCUGGUGGGUUUCAAGAUGUUGAAGGAGAAACUGAAGAGCGACGACGUGCCCGGCUGGAACGCCACCAGAGGACACAGGAGCGAGCUGUAUGUAUCAGUCUUGAAUCGUUUCCAUUAAUGGGUUUUGUAGCUAGUAGUUUUUUUUGUGACAUAAAAUUCGUUUCUCAAUCAGGCGCAAGCACUUGCUGAGAAAAAUGAUCGUGAUCUUCGAGCACAAAGAGAACAAGCUGAGAAAAAUGUAAGUUCCGUUGUCAUUCUGUUUGUUUUCUUCUUCACUUUCCUUCUUCUCAAAUACCGCUGGCUUGUUGAGAUAGCGUUAGAAAAAUAGUGCCAUCCUUAAGGAUCUGAGACACUUGCGUCAUGGGGUUUCAGAGGAGCUAUCUUGUUUUGAUUGUUUAAUUAUCAUUCUUAAUCAGAGAAUCGGUGAGACCUUGGAUGUUGAGAUAAAACGUUGGGGUGCGGGAAAGGAGGGAAACUUGCGUGCCUUGCUUUCGACUUUACAAUAUGUAUGUCAUAUAUUGUUCAGUUUCUGUGUUUGAUCUCAUUUGUACCUUUGAUGUUAUGAAUCUUACCGUCACUCUCGUGAUGCAAAUGUUGCAGGUUCUUUGGCCAGAGUGUGGUUGGCAGCCUGUUUCAUUGACCGAUUUAAUUACCGCUGCUUCUGUCAAGAAAUUUUACAGGAAGGCCACUCUCUGCAUACACCCUGACAAAGUUCAGCAAAAAGGCGCUAAUCUCCAGCAGAAAUACAUUGCCGAGAAGGUGUUUGACAUGCUCAAGGUAAGUGAUUCACCGUUUUAUACACCACAUCAGUCACUGCCACGAGCAAAAACAUACUUUAUUAUUCAAUUAGAUCAUUGUGUCUUCAUCUCUUUUUUUUUUUUUUCUCAUGACAAUAAACAGGAAGCAUGGAACAAGUUCAACUCAGAAGAACUCUUUUGAAAACCUGGGAUAAUGUUUUGUGAUAUUGUUGUUUCAUGUGCCGCAAGAAAGCAGGUUCGUUACAUCCCAAAAGUGUUGCCCAUGUUGAUGCCAGACACCUGUCGAUAGCUUAUGUAUUACCCAUCACUAUAGACAUCGCAGCAAUUGGGCACAGAUGGGAGUGAAUUUCGACAGGGGGCCAAGUAUUGAUGAAUUAACUACAGCGUGUCAGAUGUGCAUUCCUAUUUUUUUGUUGUUAAUUUUGUUUCCAUUUUCCUUAUCCUUAUUGAUUCGCUUCCUUUUUAUGAGUGUGUGCCAAAUGGACUGAUGUUGAUUCCUUGUAUCAAAACACAAUACCUGCGAAAGUUGUAUUGUUGUUCCAAGUAAUUAUGGCAUGGAGCCGAACUUAUAGCAGUUUGGCUUGUUUGUGUUUGUAUUUUUGUCAUCACCAGUUUCGCAAUCGGCGGUGCGUACUUGGUGGCGGCGACAGCUUUCUCUAAUACAUCGGUUACGGUUUUUUCAGGCUUGGCAGGUUGGACGAUUUUGUGGGUCGAUUUGUUUUCUGGGUCACUCCUUUCCCGGACCCAUUAUGGGUAUUUUUGAACCUGUUUAAUUUUUUUUUAGUUUUUAUCCUUUAUGUUUUCUUAUAUUUGUGCAUUGAUUGAUUGUCACAAAAAAAAAACCAAUUUUUUUAUUUAUGGAAGUCUUUACAUAUGUGAAAUUUACAUUAUUUUAGUAAUAUUUAGGUUCUUGCGACGUUGUAAUAAUUAGUCUUUUACACAUUAACAUGGUUAUUUAAUCGGUUGUAUCUAUUUCAAUAUUUUUACUUUUUACUGUGGAAUCCUUCUCUGCUCCUUUUUACUUUAUUUUUGAUGUUUUCUGAAACUAUGUACUCUCUGACCCAUUGUGGUCUAUUUCAAAUGGGUCUAUUUCAAAUGAAACUCAGCAUUAAAAAAAACUUUUUGAACAUUUUCUGGAUUAAUCGGUAAUAACUUUUUUUCUCUUUAUAAAUAAGUAACUAUCAGUUUGUAAAGAACUAAAGACAAUUUUUUUGAUGAAACUGUAUAUAGUUACUAGUUCUAAGUUUUAACGAUAACGUUAUCUUUAUUUGAUUUUAAAAACCGUUCUGACAACUCUUUGGUGAUAUAAAAAAACUCUUUGCUGAUAUUAGCAAUAACAUGUAAUUAUUUUUGGGAAAUCUGUUUUUUUAGAGCAAAAAAAUGGUAACUAUGUCCCUUUAGACUAAUUUAUACUACUUUAUGUCCUAUUAGACUAAUUUUUUUCCAAAAUGGCACUAAUGCACUUAAAAUUGUAAUUUUUUUAAAAAGAUAUAUAUUGAGUUCGACAAGGGGGAUCGAUCCCACUUUACAAGUUAUAGUGGAUCGAUCGAUCCCGAUCAUUAUUCAGAACAAAAAAAAAACGCGAAAUAUAUACUGAUCGACCUGGUCCAUUUCACUCGAUCGGCGAAGGUCGAUUUACACAGAUCGACCGAUCUGUAAGAAUAGAUCGAUCGAUCCCGUGCCGAGGAAAGAAUCCCAAAUCGAUUUUUUUGGUUUUGUAUGAUUAUAUCCGGAUUGAUUCCCACUUGAUUUGAACCCUUAUCCGUAGAAUACAACUAAUAUGUAGAAAUCAGUUUCUACAGUUUUUUAGAAUUAUAGUAAUGUUUAGAAUUUGAUUUCUACAUGUUUUAGAUUUAUAGUAAAUCUGUAGAAGUCGGUUUCUACAUGUUUUAGAAUUAGAUUAAUGUGUAGAUUUUGAUUUCUAAGAAUUUUAGAAUGGUAGGUUAAGCGCGGAAUGUGUAUUCUACAUAUUUGUAGAAUACUCCUAUUUACGUAGAUCACGUAUUCUAAACAUUGUAGAUUCAAUGAAAAAAGUAGAUUUCGUUUUCUACUUCGUAGAAUGUCAUUUCUACUUUUUUAGAACAUAAUCUGAAAUUUAUAAUUUUAACUUUUUUAUAACUGGAAAAUAUACCAUUAAGUUCAUAUAGAUAUUUUAACAAAUGUUACUAUUUUUCCAAAAUUUUUUUGUUUGUAAAACUAUUUAUUAAAAUUAUUUUUAUAAAUAUUAAAGAGUAUUAUAGGAAAAUAUGACACAAAAUAUAGAUUAGUCUAAAGAGGAGGAAAUAGUUACUAUUUUUUUUGCUCUAAAAAAACAGUUUUCCCAUUAUUUUUUAACUGAAAUAUAUGCAUAUGUAUCAACUAUUCUAAACCUUCUAUUUUCCAAGCUGGUGUUGUAUUCAUACUCGAAAAAUCUACAUUAACCAAUCUUAUGGGUUGGGCAACUCAUUGAAUUGGCCUGUAAGCCAUUUAUUUCGAGUUUCUAUUAUCAGCUAAUCUUGAUUAUUAUGGUGGAUUUGCUAAAUAAGUACAUACCUAAAAAAGGUGUAAAAAGAUUAAUUAUCCCAAAACAACAAAGGAAAAUCCACUAAUGACGCAAAAAUCGAAUCUUUAGGUCUUUGAUUUCAACAUCCGAGGAAAAAGGAUUUAAUCACAAAUAACUAGAACAAACUGUCUUACCUUUUACAUUCUUUCACGAGUCCUUUUAGUUUUAUGCCAUGUUCGUAACUACGUUGGCGCUAGUCGGGCAAUAACCCCAGACCUAUAGAGUUACCAAAAAAUCGGAGAAUAUUCAAGAAUUACGCGGGGUCUAGUUUUAAAUAUAAUUUAAUAUAUUUAUAAUAUAAUUAGCUAAUUUUAGACAUGAUCACACAUGUUCUUAGACAUAAUUAUAUAAUUUUUUUAUAUAUAAUUUUAAACAGUCUCUUUUUGAUUCGUCGAACAUUUAGAUUAUAGUGUGUUUGAUACGAAAAAUUCUCUAAAUGAAGUAAUUAUGUGUUUGUUUUGGCUUUAAUAGCUAAUUGUAAUUAUUUAGUAAGAAUAAUUACAUAAAUUCUGUCACUAAUGAGUAAAAAAUAAUCAACUGUGUUUUAACUUUACACAGACGAAAAAAAAAACUUAGGCGGUCUAAACAAAAAUUAUGCGGAAAUUAGGCGGUCAACCUCUGAACAAUGCCUAGGCGGCCGCGUUUUUGAACGGUGAUUUUAUGUUAAUAACAAAAUAUCCACAUAAAGACAUUUGUUUGUUUGAUUCGCUGUCAAAGUAACCAAAUCUAAAAUAUCAGGGUUUUAUUAAGAAAACAAAAAACGUAAAGGACCGUAUUUGAAAUUUACUGGAGAAACCCAAAACAAAAAAAAAAGAACGUAAACUAUAAAUAGCCGAUAACUACCUAUUUUGGUUUUUAUACCCGUCAAUCAAACAAACACCUAAUCAAGAGAAGGGAGUCGGCGAUCCCUAUCUCGAGCUGGGAAAUGAGAGAGAUCCUUCAUAUCCAAGGAGGCUAAUGCGGAAACCAGAUCGGUGCCAAGUUCUGGGAAGUCAUCUGCGGCGAGCACGCCAUCGACCCCACCGGCCACCGGUCAGUACUGCGGCGACUCAGAUCUCCAGCUAAUUGGCCUGUAAGCCAUUUAUUUCGAGUUUCUAUUAUCAGCUAAUCUUGAUUAUUAUGGUGGAUUUGCUAAAUAAGUACAUACCUAAAAAAGGUGUAAAAAGAUUAAUUAUCCCAAAACAACAAAGGAAAAUCCACUAAUGACGCAAAAAUCGAAUCUUUAGGUCUUUGAUUUCAACAUCCGAGGAAAAAGGAUUUAAUCACAAAUAACUAGAACAAACUGUCUUACCUUUUACAUUCUUUCACGAGUCCUUUUAGUUUUAUGCCAUGUUCGUAACUACGUUGGCGCUAGUCGGGCAAUAACCCCAGACCUAUAGAGUUACCAAAAAAUCGGAGAAUAUUCAAGAAUUACGCGGGGUCUAGUUUUAAAUAUAAUUUAAUAUAUUUAUAAUAUAAUUAGCUAAUUUUAGACAUGAUCACACAUGUUCUUAGACAUAAUUAUAUAAUUUUUUUAUAUAUAAUUUUAAACAGUCUCUUUUUGAUUCGUCGAACAUUUAGAUUAUAGUGUGUUUGAUACGAAAAAUUCUCUAAAUGAAGUAAUUAUGUGUUUGUUUUGGCUUUAAUAGCUAAUUGUAAUUAUUUAGUAAGAAUAAUUACAUAAAUUCUGUCACUAAUGAGUAAAAAAUAAUCAACUGUGUUUUAACUUUACACAGACGAAAAAAAAAACUUAGGCGGUCUAAACAAAAAUUAUGCGGAAAUUAGGCGGUCAACCUCUGAACAAUGCCUAGGCGGCCGCGUUUUUGAACGGUGAUUUUAUGUUAAUAACAAAAUAUCCACAUAAAGACAUUUGUUUGUUUGAUUCGCUGUCAAAGUAACCAAAUCUAAAAUAUCAGGGUUUUAUUAAGAAAACAAAAAACGUAAAGGACCGUAUUUGAAAUUUACUGGAGAAACCCAAAACAAAAAAAAAAGAACGUAAACUAUAAAUAGCCGAUAACUACCUAUUUUGGUUUUUAUACCCGUCAAUCAAACAAACACCUAAUCAAGAGAAGGGAGUCGGCGAUCCCUAUCUCGAGCUGGGAAAUGAGAGAGAUCCUUCAUAUCCAAGGAGGCUAAUGCGGAAACCAGAUCGGUGCCAAGUUCUGGGAAGUCAUCUGCGGCGAGCACGCCAUCGACCCCACCGGCCACCGGUCAGUACUGCGGCGACUCAGAUCUCCAGCUGGAGAGGAUCAAUGUCUAUUACAACGAAGCUAGCGGAGGAAAGUACGUGCCACGCGCCGUGCUCAUGGAUCUUGAGCCUGGGACGAUGGACUCUCUCAGAUCCGGGCCGUUCGGGCAGAUUUUUAGGCCCGAUAACUUCGUGUUCGGGCAGUCUGGUGCGGGGAACAACUGGGCGAAAGGUCAUUAUACGGAGGGAGCUGAGUUGAUUGACUCGGUGCUUGAUGUUGUCAGGAAGGAGGCUGAGAACUGUGAUUGUCUUCAAGGUUUGAAUACGUCGUCGUUUUCCUAGGUUUUAGGUUUGCCUUCUCUCGUAUUCACUUGAAUCUUGAUCUGCUGUUGGAUACGACGUCGUUUUCCCUCUAGUUUCAUUUUCGUCCGAGGUUUUCUCUGUGUGACUUUCGUCAAUGCGUAUUGUCUGUCCAUAGAGGUUCGGUGAAGUUAUUUUGGUUUCCCGGUUUGGUUUAGGUUGGUUCGUGGUUCUGCUAAUAUUGGCUCCAAUUUGGGUUUGGUUCAGAUUAAAUAUCAGGUAACUUGGGGGAUUUACCGGGAUAAAAUUAUCUGAUAAUCCUAUUCAGAUAAAAAAAAAAUAAUUUGGUUUUCCCGAUAAUUUAGUUUACAAAUAGUAUUUCAGGUAUAUAUAUAUAUGGCUAUUUCAAACUAAACAUAUAGUUAAUAUUUUGUAGAUAUUUAGGUAUCCAUUCAUUUUUCGGAUUAGGUUUAGUUUCGUUUUUUGAAUUAAAAAUAGGAACAUUCAGUUUUCGGUUUAGUUUUUCGAUUAAAAUGCCCAUGCCCUGAAUCUGACAUUUGUUACCACACGUAAAGCCUGGAUUCAUCACCCCACCUUAUGAUGCUUUGUUCUUGAUAUAGAUUCAUGACUACGCCAUUCGCUGAUGCAUGAUGUAUGUUCUUGGAACAGGUUUUCAAGUAUGUCAUUCAUUGGGAGGAGGAACCGGCUCCGGCAUGGGAACUCUUCUUAUCUCCAAGAUAAGAGAGGAGUAUCCUGACCGUAUGAUGAUGACCUUCUCGGUCUUCCCUUCUCCUAAGGUCUCAGACACAGUCGUUGAGCCAUACAACGCUACACUCUCUGUUCACCAGCUUGUCGAGAAUGCUGACGAGUGUAUGGUUUUGGAUAACGAAGCUCUCUACGAUAUCUGUUUCCGUACCUUGAAGCUCUCUAAUCCUACAUGUAAGCCCAUUUCAUUAAUUCUCAUUUGUUGAUCACUUUGAAAGCUCUGACAUUGUUCUUGCUUGUAGUUGGUGACCUUAACCAUCUCAUCUCUGCUACCAUGAGCGGUGUCACAUGCUGUCUCCGUUUCCCUGGUCAACUAAACUCCGACCUUAGAAAACUCGCUGUCAACCUCAUCCCUUUCCCAAGGCUCCACUUCUUCAUGGUUGGUUUCGCACCGUUGACAUCAAGAGGGUCGCAGCAAUACAGCGCCUUGACCGUCCCUGAGUUAACCCAACAGAUGUGGGACGCCAAAAACAUGAUGUGCGCAGCUGACCCUCGCCACGGCCGUUACUUGACAGCUUCCGCUCUGUUCCGUGGAAAGAUGAGCACUAAAGAGGUUGAUGAACAGAUGAUAAACGUCCAGAACAAGAACUCAUCGUACUUCGUUGAGUGGAUUCCGAACAACGUGAAAUCAAGCGUCUGCGAUAUAGCUCCCGCGGGUUUGAAAAUGGCGUCGACUUUCAUAGGAAACUCGACUUCGAUCCAGGAGAUGUUCAGGCGUGUGAGUGAACAGUUCACUGCUAUGUUCAGGAGAAAGGCUUUCUUGCAUUGGUACACGGGGGAAGGGAUGGACGAGAUGGAGUUCACGGAAGCUGAGAGUAACAUGAACGAUCUUGUUGCGGAGUACCAGCAAUAUCAGGAUGCUACGGUCGGUGAAGAAGAGUAUGAGGAGGACGAAGAAGAGUAUGAGGAAGAAGCUUAACAUGAUUGAUUAUUGCUAUACUACUUUUGUAAGGCUUCCUUCACACAUGAUGUAAGUGGCACUCUACUUUUUUUUAUGUUUGUUCCUUGAAUUGAAUCUUCUCUCUUUUUUCUGCCUUUAUGUGUUUUGUUAUUGAACCAAGAUUUGUUCUGGAGUGUAAUCCCAUAUAUUGCCUAUGCUUCUUUGUUUUGUGUGUUUUAAGUGUCAAGCCUAUACAAUUUCUUUGACCAAAAACUGGUACAAACUGUUAGAUUCUAAACCUCUGCCUCCAUAAUCUCUUUUUUUUUCUUCUUCUUCUUCUUCUUCUUCUUCUUCUUCUUCAGCUAUGUCCACUCUUCAUACAAUCAUGAAUCAUGCAGGUUUCUUAAACAAUAGCUUUCGACCUGCAGCUCUUGUCUCUUCUUCGUACAUCUCUGGUCUCUGAUACCAUUUGCUUCCUCGGUUGUGUAAAUAAACCUGCAGAGUUUUGUCUAAUACUGGAGAAGAAGGGUGAGAGUAGUUCAUGUAUACGUUUCCAGGAGCUUUGUUAUCCUUCGUUAUUCCAUUUGCAAAAUGAACAUCCCGGGUAGAACUUAUCUGAAAAAGUAUCCUCUAGAUUUUUCGAUUCUCGCCAACAUCUCAACGGCUCUCUGUCAUAAGACUUUGAGAAUGGUACAUCGCCACUGUCGAUCUCAGCAGAAGAAUCUCUCACAUCAAUAAUCAGAGUCUGAGCUUCUGAAAUUCGACCCAUGCGCAUCAAAUUUGUUCCUGUCUGGUUCCAGACGCAAAGCUCUCUUGUUCAUUCCAUAUAAUAAGGAGAAACUCGCAAGAUCAAACAGUAAUCAAACUCCGUAUUUGGUAACAAGAAUCAAACCUGUAGUGCUGCUCUGCAAUGCCAUAGUUAUGUAUAUGUAAAUGGGACCCAUCCAAGUCAGUGCAAGAGACAAAACAGUCGACAUACUCUAUAACUUUGGUCUCUUGCUCGAUCGUCAUUGUGACAUGCCUUUCUUGAACCCUUUUUGCUCUCACAAUUCUACCACCAAACCCCACUCCUUGUUCGAGUGUUUUCAGCUAGUGCUCAAGUAACUCAGCUUCUUCUUGAAUCUUCCCUGAAUUCUGCAAGACAACGCAAAUCCACUUCACAUCCAUAAACACUUGCAUAAGAAAAAAACAAGGGUUGAGGUUUUGCUUUACUUUAGUUCAAGGAGUAAGUUAUCGAUGGAGUCUUGUGCCUCGUAAUUAAGGACAGAGAUACCCAAAGGACAUGAUGGCUUCGACUCCUUCAUCAGACCAGUUUAGCUGUUUCAUAACAACGAACAUGUCAUUCAAUGCACUAUCAACCCGAUCUCCAGCGUUGAUUGCAGCUUGAUUCGAAUCUUUACAUACCAAGUGUUCUCCCCAUAUAACAAUCAUCCAUAUGUUAGAAUUUUUAUUUUUUUAAAAAAACACAACCAUAUCCCGUGUUUCGAGAGAUAUUGAGUUCAAGGAAUGGACUUAGAAACCCUUACUUGGGGAUUAAUCAAAUUUCCCGGGAAAAUUUGAAUACUUGCGCAUGCUUGGCUCUGACGUAAGGACAAUCACCAAAAGGAUUCUUGUGAAUAAUGUGAAAGGGAUCACUUUUGUUUGAAGAAGGUAGUACUCUCCUCCUCUCCGACAUGGGCAUAGGCAUAGCCGCCGCAUAAUCUCUUGUUCUAGCCGGCGGUGCAGCAAUUCGAAGGGACACAUUUUUUUGGUCAAGACAGUUAUCAACUAAGAUGAUUUUCCGGGUUCGACGCCAGCCGAAGGCGAACUGCUCAUCCCUGUCACUAAAGUGGGUACUGGGCCUUCGGGCUCAGGGAAAAACCUCCCGGGUGAAGCUGGCCCGCUGCCUAACCGGGCCCAGGGAAUGACCCGCGAAGCGGGGAACCCUGGAUUAUCAAAAAAAAAAAAACUAAGAUGAUUUUCCCAGAAUUCAAAUCCUCCUGUUUCUCAGGGAAUUCGGCUCUUAAAUAUUAAUAAUUGGACCAAGAACCAAAAGCAAAAACGCAAACUUUUUAAGAAGAGUCAGUCAACACUUUAAGAAGAGUCUACGGAAAAAGGAUAAAUUCCAACCUAACAAUGUCUGUGUUUCAUACCGUGACUAUUUCAUCCCAUACUAACAAUUAUUUCAAAUAAACUACAUGAACCAUCAAAUUCUUAGUUUUUUUUUUGUUUAAUUAGGGUUGGCCUUUGUUUUUGAUAUUUUGUUAAUUUUAUCAAUUUUUAAAUAAAGAAAAAUUAAAAUAAAGGAGAGUAUAUGAGAUUAUGUUUUUUCAGUCUGAAGAGUAUAUUAGACUUUGAUUCAGAUGUAAACCCUAAUCUGUCUCACAUGGGAAUGCUAUAAAAACCAACAUUUAUCUUUCACUUUCAACAAAUUAAUAGACUCGGUCCCGUAGAUCUAAACUCUGAUGCUGGUCAUCGUGGUGAGGUUGACAUCAUGGCUUAUGGCGUUGAUGAAGGUCAUAACUUCGAGGCCGGAGUUCGGUUCAGUCCCUUUCCAGCAGGUGGAUAAGAUUGUCCCCAUAAACUCUCUUUUGCUACUCCUUUUCUCUGUUAUUUAUACAUAUAUUGGUUGGUUCAGGAGAUGACAUUGCGCGGCACACCAAGAUGCUCGGAGACAUUCGUGCCUGGUCAUCUGAUAAUCCCAAUCCAUCAAACCUGUUCCUAAUCAUGGGAGACCCCUCAGUUGACUUCCUCCCCUACAUUGAAUUUCCGAAGAGCUCGAAAGGAUACAAGAUUCACUAUACAUAUAUCUAGCAUAAGAAGAGCCUGAAGUUCCAUGUUCUCUUUGGAAAACUUGUAUUCGGUGUCAGAUGCAAAACUUCACAUAUAUCUACUAUCUAGUAUUAUCUUCUUCUUUUAUUUUUUCCUUUAAACACCGAGCCCUAGUUUGUUAGAUCAAAACAAAAGUUCACUUUUCUGAAAAAAAAAAAUUUGAGUACACGAGAAACAGAUCCUGUAACCAAAAACUAAAUGUUUUUAAAUUUUGAAUUUAAUAAUUCACUUAUUUGGACAACCAAAAUUUUUUUUUAUUUGAUUGGUCAAUAAUCAAAGAAUAACUUCAAAUUUUAUGAUAUUAUACUAAUCAUCUCUACAUAGAUCCUAAAACCUAAACUAAAUAUUGAGAGUAUUUGUUUGUAAUAGAUUAUAGAAUAAAUAAUUCUAGACACAAACUCCUUAGAACAAACAACGAUGCAAAACAAGUUUUAGUUGACGAAAACUAUAUUGAUGAAUAUCGGAUUACAAGAUCAAUGUGUACACAAGAAUCAAAACUAAGCUCAAGACAAUUGAAUAAAACAAAGUCGAUUUGUUUGGAAGAUCUUGAUGUUUGGAUGUAUGUAUUCGGGUAACUAUAUCAAUUUUCUCGUCCUGAUCUUUAUAUACUCGUCUUACUAUUGUUGUUUCCGAUAUCUCAUCCUCCAUUUGCCUCGCUUGUUUGCGUAGUUUUCGGGAUCUUCUCCUUUGAGACCUGGUUAACAUUUUAUAACACUUCGACCGCCCACGGCUAAUGGACCACUCACGUCCGUUCUCAUGGUCUGUGGGUCUUAUCCCAUCCGAUGGACGGUGUGUUAAUUUUUCCAAAGUCUAAAAGUCUUGUUUACUAACCCUGAAAUCACCAUUCAGCCUUUUUCCGUGCUUUGGUCUCACUCGCAUGGUAUUGCGAAUCACUUCCCGAUAGGUCACCCAUCAUUUCACUACUCCAUUCCAAGCACGUUUAACUCUGGAGUACUAAAUGAAUGUAUGACGGAAAAGUUAAAUCAAUUUUGGUGACAUAGGUAGCCAAAUUAAUCCUCUUAAGCAUUUCCAUAUAUCACAACUCGGGAUGUUACAAUCCAUCCAUUCUCAAAAAACGCAACGUCCUCGUUGCGUUGCGCUCCACGACAGGUCUCAAAAUGUCUAUUGGGAUCAAAACCGAGAUGGCUAACUUGGCUUUGAUACCACUUAUAACACCCCAAUCGCCUACGGCUAAUGGGCCACCCACGCCUGCUCUCUCGGUCCGUGGGCCCAUCCCGUUCCAAUGGUCGGUGCAUUAAUUUUUCUAAGACUCGAAAUCAUUGUUUAAUAGCCAUGCAAUUACCACCCGACUUUUUCCACGCUUUAACCUCACUCACACGGUAUCGCGAAUCACUUCCUGAUAGUUCACCCCUCAUUUCACUAUUCCAGUCAAAGCACGUUUAACUCUGGAAUUCUAAACGGAUGAAUAACGAAAAAAAUAAGUCAAACUUUGGUGAUAUAGAUAGCCAAACCAAUCUUCUUUAAGUCUUUGUGAGUAAGUCUUUCUGAGUAUCACAAGUGGGAUGUUACACAUUUACCGUCGAGAUCCCCUAUACGUGGCCCAUUUAAUCGUUUUCAGUCCCAAUUAUUCAAGCCCUGACUUCGAUGCUAGAUUAGGGUCCAAUACAUUCGUAUCUCAUAAUUAUGCAAAAUAAACGCUAAAGAGAAACUAGAAAAGUGGGUUGUGUGGGAGGAAGAAUAUCAUUUUCCUGAAAUAAUUAUCUAUUCACUCUGUUUUUUAAUAUAAAUCGUUUUAUAAUUGUGCAUGUAGAUUAAGAAAUCAUUAUUUUUUUAUAUUUUGUAAACAAAAACAUCAUUAAUUAUUUAUAUAACCACAAAUCAACCAAUAAUAAAAUAGAAUGUAUAUUAUCAUUGGUCAUAUAACAUUAAAUGUUAAUAAAUUUUACAUAGAAAACUGAAAACGUCAUAUAAUUUGGGACAUAAAAAUUUCACUAAAACGACUUAUAUGUCAAAUUCAAAAAAGUAUAGUAAGUUUGAAAAAAAUUGUAUUAUAGAUUUUUAAAUUAGUUCGAUUUGUAGAAUAAAUUUAAGGGUUUUUAAUUAAUACUGGUUAUUAAUCAGGUAUAGUUUAGUUGUGUACACAAUUUAUUUUUUACUAGAAAAUUAUUUUUAUUUAUUCCAAAUCGUAUUUUUAAAUAUAUUUUCAUACGUAUGUGACUAAUAUAAGAAAUAUAAAUUUAAAUACAAAUUUAUAUUUUAAAUUGAUGUGAAAAUUGUCACUUUUUCAACUAUAUCAUUUUAAUUUUUUUUAAAAAAAAGUUUAUUGACAUAAAUUGGUAAUAUUAUUAGUAUAAUUGUUAACUUAUAUUUAAAUUUAUGUAGUAGAAAUUUUAUAUUAUUUUAACUUGAAGUCAUAUCAUAAUAACAUAGGAUUUAUUUCAAAUUUUAUUUGUUUUGUUAGAAUGAUAUGUGAUGAUGAUACUUAAACAAUCAUUUGGUAGAUAAAGCUUAAGAUAUAUAACUAAAUCUAGAGCAUACAAUUAUAAAGAAAGAAAUUCAGACAAUUUAAAUAUAUAGGAACUAGAUUAAGUUCCUUGCCUUGCGCGAGAUAAACAUUAUAUAUAUAUAUAAAUUAUUUUAUGUAUUAUAUGUUCGUACAUAUUAUAAAAUAAUAAAUAUAUAUUGAAUAAUUACAAGUCAGUAACUAUUACAUAUAUAAUUAAAUUGGUGCGAACAUAUAAAUCAAUUUUAUUAAUCCAAAUAUUUUUUUUUAAAAAAAAUUGAUAGGAUAUGUAAUUAAAUUUAAAUGAUAUUAACAUACAUAUAUAGUAUAUUUUUAAUAUUAAUGUCUAUUAAAUGAUGCUUUCUACUCAUAUAUUUUUUUUGACCAUGUGUAUCUUUAAUAGCAAAAACUUUAAAUUACUGAUAACAAAAUUUUCAUUGUGGGAUUAAUAAUUUUAGUAAUUUAUAAUUUAAAAAGAUUUAUCAAUGUUAGUUCUUUUUUGACAACUUGUUUCAUUAAUGCCAUAAGAAUGUUAGGUGGGUGCCAUAAAGGCAUCACCUACAUACAAAGCAUCUUUUGCCAACCUAUCGGCUACACCAUUUCGAUCUCGAGAGAUCCAACUAAAAGAUAAAAAUUGAAAGGAGGAAGAUAGUAGUGAUGUCUGCUAUGACUCCAUGGAGCUCUGCUACAGGUUCUGUUCCUCUGGCUGCCUUGAUCAGCACAUAUGAAUCACAUUUGACUCUUAGGUUUGUCACUUCCAUUCAGCAUAGAUAAAUUAUUUUAAUAGUUUAAAAUUAAACAAAUUUGAUAGAAGAUACAUUAUUUUUUUUAUCAGAUCUUUAUUAUUCAAAAUCAUUAAUUGUCAUAUAUACUUUAGUCACAUUAGGCAAUUACGUAAUCUUUAUUUAAUGAAAUAAUAAAUGACAUUAAUAAUGUUAGUUUAAUAAAAAGCUUAUUAUAUAAUUAGAUGGACCAACAUAUUUUUUUAAUAAUUUUAAGAAUCAUCUUUGUGAUGACACGUGGUUACAAAAAGAAGUCGUAAAUAUAUAAGGGAUAAAGAAAACACUAAAACCCCCAAAAAUGUAAAAAGAAAUAGAUAUGAAAGAUCCCCGAUAAACCGGUUAUCGAAUCGAACCGGAUAAACAAGCAAGCCGACUCUCCCUCUAAGAUAUUUUAUAAACCUCUCAAACACACAAGUCGCUCUCAUUCUCAACGUCUCCUCCCUUCUUGGCUCUCUAUCCCUCUCUGCUCUCUUCUUCCGAGAUCAAAGAUGGACUACAAACAGAACCAAACUUACAUUGAUGCCGACGGCAAGAUUACACAGGAGAACAACAAUAAGGAGAUUACACAAGAGGAGGACGACGAGGAGAUUACACAGGAGGACGCAUGGACCGUCAUCUCAGCCUACUUCGAAGAGAAAGGUCUCGUUCGUCAGCAGCUCGAUUCUUUCGAUGAGUUUAUUCAGAACACUAUGCAAGAAAUCGUCGACGAGUCGUCCGAUAUCGAGAUCCGACCCGAGUCCCAGCACAAUCCUGGCCACCAAUUUGAUUUCGCCGAGGUUCUCUAGCUUCUCUAGUGUUUUUUUUCUACUGUGAAAUUGAAGUCCUGUUCUGAGCUAUUGCGUUUGUGUGUACUGUUUCGGUGCAGUUAGGGUUUGCCUUCUCGAGUAAGUUAGCUUGUUGCAAUUAGGGUUUCGCCGAGGUUCUGUAGCUAGGGUUUCUCUUUUCUAGGGUUUCUACUAUUGAGAUGUUGGGGGUGUGAAGCUCAGAUCAUUUUUGGCACUAGGAAGAUGUGUUUUAGUAUUGAUGAAACUUUAUUUUCUUGCAGAGAAUCUACAAGAUUAGUUUUGGACAGAUUUAUGUGAGUAAACCCACGAUAACGGAGUCUGAUGGAGAGACUGCCACCUUGUUCCCCAAGGCUGCAAGGUUGAGAAACCUCACCUACUCGGCUCCUUUGUAUGUCGACGUUUGCAAGACAGUUAUUAUGAAAGGGCAUGAUGGGGAGGAAGUUACGGAGACUCAGGAUUUUACCAAAGUUUUCAUUGGAAAGGUCCGUGAACUUUUUUUUUGUGCAAUAUUAUAUAAGCGGCUUGCUUCUCCUAUACGGUUCUGACUCUAGAUAUGUUUUCUUCCUUCUUUGAUUUUUUUUUUAACUCUAGGUUCCCAUCAUGCUUCGGUCUAGUUACUGUACCUUGCAUCAGAAUUCGGAGAAAGAUUUGACAGAGCUUGGAGAAUGUCCUUAUGAUCAGGGAGGAUACUUCAUUAUAAAUGGCAGCGAAAAGGUUCUGAUUGCUCAAGAGAAGAUGAGUACGAACCAUGUUUAUGUGUUCAAGAAGAGACAGCCGAAUAAGUACUCGUAUGUCGCUGAAGUCCGUUCCAUGGCGGAAAACCAAAAUAGACCUCCGAGCACAAUGUUUGUGCGUAUGCUCUCUGGCUCGAAAGGGGUAAGAGAAAGCUAAAUACUAUUUAGCUCUAUUUUAGUUUCUUUAAAUUCUAAAAUAAUGUUAAAUGGAUGGAUGCAGGGCUCAUCUGGACAGUAUAUUCGAUGUACUCUUCCAUAUAUCAAGAAAGAAAUUCCUAUUAUCAUAGUAUUUCGUGCAUUGGGGUUUGUUGCCGAUAAGGACAUAUUGGAGCGUAUAUGCUAUGAGUUUGGAGAUACUCAGAUGAUGGAGUUGCUCAGGCCUUCCUUGGAAGAAGCUUUUGUGAUUCAAAGUCAGCAGGUAAACCAUUGAUCCUACGUACAUUUGGUUAAUAUUAUGUUUAUUCUGGCUCUUUUGUUGUUGGGAGAAUUAAUCCUGAUGAUUUUCGUAUUCCUUCAGGUUGCCCUUGACUAUAUUGGAAAACGUGGUGCGCCUGUUGGUACACCCAAGGACAAGAGGAUAAAGUAUUAUAUAUAUUCUAAAACCAAUUAAGUUGGCAUUAUGAUCUAUGAUAUCAACUAUUGAGAUGUUGAUACUGGAGGUUUGCAAUAUUAUCAUUGCAGGUAUGCAAGAGAUAUCCUUCAGAAAGAAAUGUUUCCUCAUGUAGGAGUUGGGGCUUUUGAGACGCCAAAAGCUUACUACUUCGGGUACGUAUUCAGCUCACUCGUGUUCUUUGAGUUUCAUAGUGCUUUUUUGUUUCUCAUAUUAUGCAAUAACCCUCAGGCUUAUCAUACACCGGCUGCUGCGUUGUGCACUUGGCCGAAAUCCAGAAGAUGAUAGGGAUCAUUAUGGUAACAAAAGGCUGGAUCUUGCUGGUCCUUUACUUGGAGGGCUGUUUAGAAUGGUUUGUUACCAGUCCCAUAAUCAUGCAUUUUUGAAAAACAAAUUAAAGAAUUUUUAUAAUCAUUUUAGUUGAUCUCUUACUGACUUAAAAUCUUCUUUAAUGUAGCUUUUCAGAAAGCUAACGAGGGACGUGAGAUCUUAUGUUCAGAAGGUCUGUUACAUAUUUACUCUUUCUUAACCCGAGGACUUUAAUUCUAGUUUUUUAUUCUGUGUUUGGAAGUCUGAUUCAUGUCGCUAUAACAGUGCGUUGACAAUGGCAAAGAAGUCAAUCUUCAAUUUGCCAUUAAGGCUAAAACAAUUACCUCUGGCUUGAAAUAUGCUCUUGCUACUGGGAACUGGGGCCAGGCAAACGCUGCUGGCACAAGAGCUGGAGUCUCUCAGGUUAGGAUACUUCUUUGUUUUUUCUGUUUUCAGCCCAAAUAAUAUUUUGAUAUAUGUUUAUUAGGUUUACAGUUUUGGUCCAUUAUGGUUUAUUGCUUGAUCUACAUGGUUCUCAAGUCUUUACUUCUACCAGGUUCUAAAUCGGUUAACAUAUGCCUCCACUUUGUCACAUCUGAGGCGUCUCAAUUCUCCUAUUGGGCGUGAAGGUAAAGCCUUGUUCUUUUUCGGCAUUUCUAUGUGCAGUUGGUGUAGUGUAUUUUAGUCAGUUUUCAUUUUAUUAUCCACAUCCUUGCAACUUAGGUUGGCCUGUAGUUCUGGUUUUUCCACUUGAAUGUUAAUGAAUUCUUAUAUACCAGGAAAAUUGGCAAAACCAAGACAACUACACAACUCACAAUGGGGUAUGAUGUGCCCUGCUGAAACACCUGAAGGACAGGUAAGUUGUUGCAUUUACAUAAAUAAAAAUGUUUUGGGUUUCAGUUUAGUUCCAUUGCUGACUGUGGAUUUGCUUUGCCAGGCUUGUGGUCUAGUGAAAAACUUGGCGCUCAUGGUCUAUGUGACAGUUGGGUCAGCUGCUUAUCCCAUAUUGGUAUUUCUGGAAGAAUGGGGACUUGAGAAUCUUGAGGUCUGUAGCACUACACAGUCAGUUUCUUUGCCACUUUGUUUCAUGUGUUUACUCAAGGUCUUAACUUUGAUUGUAGGAAAUAUCCCCAGCAGAUAUACCCCAAGCCACAAAAAUCUUUGUCAAUGGAAAGUGGGUUGGAAUUCAUCGAAUUCCUGACAUGUUGGUUAGAACGUUGAGACUUUUGAGAAGAAGGGUAAGCAUGCAGUUUAUUUCACAUUUUCAAAUAUUUUUAGUCAAUAAAAUGCUACUUUUGUGCAAGUGAUGUAUUAAUUUUCCUCUUGCAGAAUGAUAUUAACACUGAAGUUAGCGUUGUUAGAGAUAUUCGUCUGAAAGAGCUCCGGAUAUACACUGACUAUGGUCGCUGUAGUCGUCCCUUGUUUAUUGUGGAUAAUCAGAGGCUCUUAAUAAAGAAGAAAGAUAUAUAUGCUCUACAACAAAGGGUAAAGUUUAUAGUCUUUCGUUCUCAAAGUACGUUUUGUUGUAACUUCAGUGUACCAAUACUCGUUUUCAAUAACCCAGGAAAGUGCAGAAGAGGAUGGUUGGCAUCAUCUACUUGCAAAGGGGUUUAUAGAAUAUGUAGACACAGAGGAAGAGGAGACUACUGUGACAGUUGGGUCAGCUGCUUAUCCCAUAUUGGUAUUUCUGGAAGAAUGGGGACUUGAGAAUCUUGAGGUCUGUAGCACUACACAGUCAGUUUCUUUGCCACUUUGUUUCAUGUGUUUACUCAAGGUCUGUCAUGCUUAAGCUAAGUGCAAUCUGGUUUUAAAGAUGGUACGAACUAAGAACUAAUAAGCUAAUGCAAUAAAGUAAUGAUCUUUCUUUCUCAAUAUGAAGCAAAAGGUCUCAUGGGGCUAGGCAUUUGAUCUUGGGUGAUGUAGAUCCAAUCUAAUGGUGGCAAGCUAUCAAUCAAACACUUUCUUUAUGCCUAGACACUAAGCUAAACAAGCUCUAUAUCUAGAUGAAUGUUCUUUUGGUAAAGCAACUCAAGCAUCUAAUCUCUUAGGUUGAAUGUUACUAAAGCAAACAUGGAGAACAAGUCUAAUAGCAAUCUUAACUCCUUUAGCAACUAAUCUCUUAGGUAAAGCAAGCUAAAAGCAUUGAAGAGUUGGUUAAGGCAUUUCAUCAUACACCUUGUGGGCAGGAAAUGCCUAGAGAUCUAUUUUAGUAUGAUCAAGACUAAAAUAGCAUUGAGAACCCUCAACAAGCAUGGAAACAAGUAGAUCUAACACUAAACACCCUAGAUCUUCUCUAAUCACCCUUAAUCACCCUAGCCCAUGAAUCCAAGAUUAGUCUACUCACUAAUAGACAUGAAUAACCCCAAAACCAUGGAUGAUUCAAGGUUAAACAUGAUUAGAGAGCAAGAUAAUCCCACAAACACAAAGAAUAUAGAUGGAAAAUGAUUCAAGAUCCAAAUUCUCUUUAAAGAGGUUUAUGUGUUCUUAGAGAGAAAAGAAGAUUCUCCCAACUUUGGGAUCUAAAAGUAUUUAUAUGGCUUCUAAAACCCUAGUGGGCUCAGUCAACAAAUCUGAGAAAGCCCAUUAAAACAUAGAAAUUCGACUAAGUGGGAAAUGCCGAGCGGGUACGUGACGUCGCUGCCAUACCCCGCUCCAGCUUUGAUUGAAUUUUUGGAUUUUAGCGCGCGACUCCUGUGCUCCGCUGCGUCUCUCCGCGCUGAAUCGUCGUCUGAAUAUUCAAGUCGUGGCGCGACAUCCAGACCCCACUGCGCUCGCCCGCUCCAGAUCAUCCUCGUAUCGCGACGAAAUGCCGAGCGGGUUGAUGAUGUCGCUGCGAGAGGUCGUUCCAGGUUAGAGCGGGUUGCUCACCUCGCUCCAGUAGGUCGCUCCAGCUCCUCUACUCGCCCAAUGA